GACGAACGCUGGCGGCGUGCUUAACACAUGCAAGUCGAACGGAAAGGCCCUGCUAUUGUGGGGUGCUCGAGUGGCGAACGGGUGAGUAACACGUGAGUAACCUGCCCUUGACCUUGGGAUAACUUCAGGAAACUGGGGCUAAUACCGGAUAGGAGCUCCUGCUGCAUGGUGGGGGUUGGAAAGUUUCGGCGGUUAGGGAUGGACUCGCGGCGUAUCAGCUUGUUGGUGGGGUAGUGGCUUACCAAGGCGUUGACGGGUAGCCGGCCUGAGAGGGUGACCGGCCACAUUGGAACUGAGAUACGGCCCGGACUCCUACGGGAGGCAGCAGUGUGGAAUAUUGCACAAUGGGCGGAAGCCUGAUGCAGCAACGCCGCGUGCGGGAUGACGGCCUUCGGGUUGUAAACCGCUUUCGCCUGUGACGAAGCGUGAGUGACGGUAAUGGGUAAAGAAGCACCGGCUAACUACGUG
rnacentral:rRNA from 1 species